AUUGAACGCUGGCGGGAUGCUUUACACAUGCAAGUCGAACGGCAGCACGGACUUCGGUCUGGUGGCGAGUGGCGAACGGGUGAGUAAUGUAUCGGAACGUGCCCAGUCGUGGGGGAUAACGUAGUGAAAAUUACGCUAAUACCGCAUACGAUCUAUGGAUGAAAGCGGGGGAUCGCAAGACCUCGCGCGAUUGGAGCGGCCGAUAUCAGAUUAGGUAGAUGGUGGGGUAAAGGCCCACCAAGCCAACGAUCUGUAGCUGGUCUGAGGGGACGACCAGCCACACUGUAACUGAGACACGGUCCAGACUCCUACGGGAGGCAGCAGGAGGGAAUUUUGGACAAUGGGCGAAAGCCUGAUCCAGCCAUUCCGCGUGCAGGAUGAAGCCCCUCGGGUUGUAAACUGCUUUUGUACAGAACGAAAAGGUUUCUACUAAUACUAGGAGCUCAUGACGGUACUGUAAGAAUAAGCACCGGCUAACUACGUGCCAGCCGCCGCAGUAA
rnacentral:rRNA from 1 species